rnacentral:misc_RNA from 1 species
AACGCACAUUGCGCCCCUUGGUAUUCCAUGGGGCAUGCCUGUUCGAGCGUCAUUUGUACCUUCAAGCUCUGCUUGGUGUUGGGUGUUUGUCUCGCCUUUGCGUGUAGACUCGCCUCAAAUUGAUUGGCAGCCGCAUCCCCCCGCCGCGAGCGCAGCACAGUCGCGCUUACGACGUGGGUGGGUCGGCGAUCCAGAAGCCUAUUUCAACGUCUUGACCUCGGAUCAGGUAGGGAUACCCGCUGAACUUAA